CUCCAGACUCCUACGGGAGGCAGCAGUGGGGAAUAUUGCACAAUGGGGGGAACCCUGAUGCAGCGACGCCGCGUGAGUGAAGAAGUAUUUCGGUAUGUAAAGCUCUAUCAGCAGGGAAGAAAAUGACGGUACCUGACUAAGAAGCCCCGGCUAACUACGUGCCAGCAGCCGCGGUAAUACGUAGGGGGCAAGCGUUAUCCGGAUUUACUGGGUGUAAAGGGAGCGUAGACGGUUAUGCAAGUCUGAAGUGAAAGCCCGUGGCUUAACCGCGGAACGGCUUUGGAAACUGUGGAGCUGGAGUGCUGGAGAGGCAAGCGGAAUUCCUAGUGUAGCGGUGAAAUGCGUAGAUAUUAGGAGGAACACCAGUGGCGAAGGCGGCUUGCUGGACAGUAACUGACGUUGAGGCUCGAAAGCGUGGGGAGCAAACAGGAUUAGAUACCC
rnacentral:rRNA from 1 species